ensembl:lncRNA
UUGCUCCACUCCACUGCAUUGGAUGUGGCAGGAGCCCUAGCUCAAGCUAGAAAUAAAACCCCUUCAUGCUUUUGCAUUGCUGUGGACGUCUUAUUCUCUCAGUUUUGGGGACUCGGACUCUGGGCAUAACAAGAGGAAACAAUAGUUUUCAAAGCCUGACUGUGAUCCGUGAAGGAGAGUAAGCAAAGGAAGUGAACCCUAAGAUGCCUCAUUCCCACCUGUAGAGGGUUCAGCCGCUGUGCAGGUGGAUUCUCUACCAGCUGAGAGCUACCAGGAAGCUCUAAAACGGGAAAUGAGAAGUGAAGUUGCUCAGCCAUGUGCUGCUCUUUGUGAUCCCAUGAACUGUAUAUCUUACCAGGCUGCUCCAUCCAUGGAAUUUUCCAGGUAGAUACUUCACCCUCUGAGGCACCAGGGAAACCCAAAAUGGGAAAUAGAUCCUCUCAAACACAGAAACAAGGGAAAUCAGAAAGCAGCUGCUAACACUCCAGCCAUGGUUAUGUGCGUACAAAAUUAUACUUGCAAGUACCUUCUUAUUGGGGGAAAUUAUACUGAAGGGGAUCUCAACCUAAAAUAGCCAAAUCGGGGUUCUUCUGAUAUUCAAAAAUUCAUAUUUUUGUGAGCAUGUUUAUUAAUAGAAAAAGCUGGCUAUCAGAUCAAACAGGCUAAAUGGAAUGCUUACUUUGGUAUCUCAGUCUAGGAUAGCUUAGAGAAAAAAAAAAAAAAUCUCUUUAGAGUUCUUGCCCUGAGGGAAUAACUCCUACUAGAAGAACCUGACCUUACUCACUAUGCUUUGAGACCAGAUCUCUCAGGAUCACUUAUCUUAUCUAGACCAGCUAAUUCUUGAAAAUCCCAAAUUCUCCAAGCCAGGCUUUAGCAAUACAUGGACCAUGAACUUCCAGAUGUUUAAGCUGGAUUUAUGAAAGGCAGAGGAACCAGAGAUCAAAUUGCCAACAUCUGUUCGAUCACAGAAAAAGCAAGAGAGUUCCAGAAAAAUAUCUGCUUCUGCUUUAUUGACUACACUAAAGCCUUUGUGUGGAUCACAACAAAAUGGAAAAUUCUGAAAGAGAUGGGAAUACCAGACCACCUGACCUGCCUCUUGAGAAAUCUGUAUGCAGAUCAAGAAGCAAUAGUUAGAACUGGACAUGGAACAACAGACUGGUUCCAAAUAGCAAAAGGAGUACGUCAAGUCUCUAUACUGUCACCCUGCUUGUUUAACUUAUAUGCAGAGUACAUCAUGAGAAACGCUGGGCUGGAUGAAACACAAGCUGGAAUCAAGAUUAUGGGAGAAAUAUCAAUAACCUCAGAUAUGCAGAUGACACCACCCUUAUGGCAGAAAGUAAAGAAGAACUAAAGAGCCUCUUGAUGAAAGUGAAAGUGGAGAGUGAAAAAGUUGGCUUAAAACUCAACAUUCAAAAAACAAAGAUUACAGCAUCCAGUCCCAUCCCUUCACGGCAAAUAGAUGGGGAAACAAUGGAAACAAUGACAGACCUUAUUUUCUUGGGCUUCAAA